rnacentral:lncRNA from 1 species
GCUAUUUCUUAACAGUAACCUGAUUAAGUUUAAACUGGGCAUAAUUUAAUUUCCUUAUGCACAGUUUAUAAAAGACAGUUUAAGCUGAAUUUGAUAUGAUGGUCACUAACCGUUUAUAAGUUUGAUUUCUAAAAUUAAAGACUUGAUAAAAGACAUUUCAGAAAAUCUUCAGCUUUAAAAAAAUUGUGGUAUGAUAUUAUCUUUUUUUUUUUAUCAAUCUAUGGUCUGCUAAAGCAAAA